rnacentral:tRNA from 1 species
GCCCCCGUAGCUCAGGGGAGAGAGCACAGGUUUCCUAAACCUGGUGUCGGCUGUUCGAAUCAGCCCGGGGGCACCA